CAGUAGCGUAUAUUAAAGUUGUUGCGGUUAAAAAGCUCGUAGUUGGAUUUCUGCCGAGGACGACCGGUCCGCCCUCUGGGUGAGUAUCUGGUUCGGCCUGGGCAUCUUCUUGGAGAACGUAUCUGCACUUGACUGUGUGGUGCGGUAUCCAGGACUUUUACUUUGAAAAAUUAGAGUGUUUAAAGCAGGCUUUUGCUAUGAAUACAUUAGCAUGGAAUAAUAAUCUAGGACUUCGGUUCUAUUUUGUUUGGUUUCUUAGUACUGAAGUAAUGAUUGAUAGGGAUAGUUGGGGGUGGCUAGUAUUGGCCGGCCAGAGGUGAAAUUCUUGGAUUCGGUCAAGACUAACUUAUGCGAAAGCAUUCACCAAGGAUGUCUUCUUUAAUCAAGAACGAAAGUU
rnacentral:rRNA from 1 species